UACGGGGGGGGCAAGCGUUGUUCGGAAUUACUGGGCGUAAAGGGCUCGUAGGUGGCCAACUAAGUCAGACGUGAAAUCCCUCAGCUUAACUGGGGAACUGCGUCUGAUACUGGAUGGCUUGAGUUUGGGAGAGGGAUGCGGAAUUCCAGGUGUAGCGGUGAAAUGCGUAGAGAUGUGGAGGAACACCAGUGGCGAAGGCGGCUUUUUGGUCUGUAACUGACGCUGAGGCGCGAAAGCGUGGGGAGCAAACAGG
rnacentral:rRNA from 1 species